rnacentral:rRNA from 1 species
GAGAGAUACUCAGAGUUUGAUCCUGGCUCAGGAUGAACGCUGGCUGUGUGCCUAAUACAUGCAUGUCGAGCGAAGUACUUGUACUUAGCGGCGAAUGGGUGAGUAACACGUACUCAACGUACCCUUCAGAUUGGCAUAGCGGUUGGAAACAACCGAUAAUUUCAAAUACUCGUUUUUAUCGCAUGAUAAUUACGUAAAAGACGCCUUUAAAGCGUCGCUGGAGGAGCGGGGUGCGCAACAUUAGCUAGUUGGUGAGGUAACGGCCCACCAAGGCAAUGAUGUUUAGCGGGGUUGAGAGACUGAACCGCCACACUGGGACUGAGAUACGGCCCAG